GGGUGGGAAACCUGCCUCUCUGCGGGGAGUAACAUUCCUAACGGGUGGCUAAUACCGCAUGGUCCGGUGCAUCGCAUGGUGCAUCGGUAAAGAAUGGCCUCUACAUGUAAGCUGUCACAGAGAGAUGGUCCCGCCUCCCAUUAGCUUGUUGGUGGGGUAAGUGGCCUACCAAGGCGACGAUGGGUAGCCGGCCUGAGAGGGUGUCCGGCCACACUGGGACUGAGAUACGGCCCAGACUCCUACGGGAGGCAGCAGUCGAGAAGCUUCGGCAAUAGGGCGAAAGCCUGACCGAGCGACGCC
rnacentral:rRNA from 1 species